GCAGGAGAACCUGACCUGCCAGUUUGGCCAUGUACAAGAAACUCUGUAAUAAAGACCUGAAGAAGGAAAAAAGUCAGGGGCUAAAGGUCGAUUCAACCCGCAGACAUCAAAAACAACCCGCGUCAACAGUGUUAAAAGUAGCCCAAUUCCGUGGGAAAACCAUGGAUUUGGCAACACUGGUUAAAGAUCACAUGUUGUUCAGUUUACUGGGUGUCCAAGCUUCCCCUUUCUCCAGGACCAUGAAUGGCGUAUUAGCAGGUA